GUGCCAGCCGCCGCGGUAAUACGUAGGGGGCAAGCGUUGUCCGGAUUUAUUGGGCGUAAAGCGCUCGCAGGCGGCCUGACCAAGUCGUGCGUGAAAUCUCUCGGCUCAACUGGGAGCGGUCGUGCGAUACUGGUCGGCUAGAGGUCGGUAGGGGGAAGUGGAAUUCCGGGUGUAGUGGUGGAAUGCGUAGAUAUCCGGAGGAACACCAGUGGCGAAGGCGGCUUCCUGGACCGAUUCUGACGCUCAGGAGCGAAAGCGUGGGUAGCGAUCCGGAUUAGAAACCCGCGUAGUCC
rnacentral:rRNA from 1 species